UUUCCGUAGGUGAGCCCGCGGAAGGAUCAUUCAUAAUAAGUGUUUUAUGGCACUUUUUUAAAUCCAUAUCCACCUUGUGUGCAAUGUCAGGGUUGAUUUUUCUCUCGAGAGGAUCAACCCCAAACAUCAACUAUAUCUCAACUCUUUGUCUGAAAAAUAUUAUGAAUAAAACAAUUCAAAAUACAACUUUCAACAACGGAUCUCUUGGCUCUC
rnacentral:misc_RNA from 1 species